rnacentral:rRNA from 1 species
GCGGGACACGUGGUAUCCUGUCUGAAUAUGGGGGGACCAUCCUCCAAGGCUAAAUACUCCUGACUGACCGAUAGUGAACCAGUACCGUGAGGGAAAGGCGAAAAGAACCCCGGCGAGGGGAGUGAAAAAGAACCUGAAACCGUGUACGUACAAGCAGUGGGAGCACCUUCGUGGUGUGACUGCGUACCUUUUGUAUAAUGGGUCAGCGACUUAUAUUCUGUAGCAAGGUUAACCGUAUAGGGGAGCCGAAGGGAAACCGAGUCUUAACUGGGCGUUAAGUUGCAGGGUAUAGACCCGAAACCCGGUGAUCUAGCCAUGGGCAGGUUGAAGGUUGGGUAACACUAACUGGAGGACCGAACCGACUAAUGUUGAAAAAUUAGCGGAUGACUUGUGGCUGGGGGUGAAAGGCCAAUCAAACCGGGAGAUAGCUGGUUCUCCCCGAAAGCUAUUUAGGUAGCGCCUCGUGAACUCAUCUUCGGGGGUAGAGCACUGUUUCGGCUAGGGGGCCAUCCCGGCUUACCAACCCGAUGCAAACUACGAAUACCGAAGAAUGUUAUCACGGGAGACACACGGCGGGUGCUAACGUCCGUCGUGAAGAGGGAAACAACCCAGACCGCCAGCUAAGGUCCCAAAGUCAUGGUUAAGUGGGAAACGAUGUGGGAAGGCACAGACAGCCAGGAUGUUGGCUUAGAAGCAGCCAUCAUUUAAAGAAAGCGUAAUAGCUCACUGGUCGAGUCGGCCUGCGCGGAAGAUGUAACGGGGCUAAACCAUGCACCGAAGCUGCGGCAGCGACACUAUGUGUUGUUGGGUAGGGGAGCGUUCUGUAAGCCGUUGAAGGUGUGCUGUGAGGCAUGCUGGAGGUAUCAGAAGUGCGAAUGCUGACAUAAGUAACGAUAAAGCGGGUGAAAAGCCCGCUCGCCGGAAGACCAAGGGUUCCUGUCCAACGUUAAUCGGGGCAGGGUGAGUCGACCCCUAAGGCGAGGCCGAAAGGCGUAGUCGAUGGGAAACAGGUUAAUAUUCCUGUACUUGGUGUUACUGCGAAGGGGGGACGGAGAAGGCUAUGUUAGCCGGGCGACGGUUGUCCCGGUUUAAGCAUGUAGGCGGAACGAUUAGGUAAAUCCGGUCGUUUAUUAACGCUGAGGUGUGAUGACGAGGCACUACGGUGCUGAAGUAACAAAUGCCCUGCUUCCAGGAAAAGCCUCUAAGCAUCAGGUAACAUCAAAUCGUACCCCAAACCGACACAGGUGGUCAGGUAGAGAAUACCAAGGCGCUUGAGAGAACUCGGGUGAAGGAACUAGGCAAAAUGGUGCCGUAACUUCGGGAGAAGGCACGCUGAUAUGUAGGUGAAGCCCCUGCGGGUGGAGCUGAAAUCAGUCGAAGAUACCAGCUGGCUGCAACUGUUUAUUAAAAACACAGCACUGUGCAAACACGAAAGUGGACGUAUACGGUGUGACGCCUGCCCGGUGCCGGAAGGUUAAUUGAUGGGGUUAGCGG